GACGAACGCUGGCGGCGUGCUUAACACAUGCAAGUCGAACGGAAAGGCCCUGCUUUUGUGGGGUGCUCGAGUGGCGAACGGGUGAGUAACACGUGAGUAACCUGCCCUUGACUUUGGGAUAACUUCAGGAAACUGGGGCUAAUACCGGAUAGGAGCUCCUGCUGCAUGGUGGGGGUUGGAAAGUUUCGGCGGUUGGGGAUGGACUCGCGGCUUAUCAGCUUGUUGGUGGGGUAGUGGCUUACCAAGGCUUUGACGGGUAGCCGGCCUGAGAGGGUGACCGGCCACAUGAGGACUGAGAUACGGCCCAGACUCCUACGGGAGGCAGCGGUGGGGAAUAUGGCACAAUGGGCGGAAGCCUGAUGCAGCAACGCCGCGUGCGGGAUGACGGCCUUCGGGUUGUAAACCGCUUUCGCCUGUGACGAAGCGUGAGUGACGGUAAUGGGUAAAGAAGCACCGGCUAACUACGUG
rnacentral:rRNA from 1 species